rnacentral:rRNA from 1 species
GAAGGUUGGCUAAUCCUGGUCGGACAUCAGGAGGUUAGUGCAAUGGCAUAAGCCAGCUUGACUGCGAGCGUGACGGCGCGAGCAGGUGCGAAAGCAGGUCAUAGUGAUCCGGUGGUUCUGAAUGGAAGGGCCAUCGCUCAACGGAUAAAAGGUACUCCGGGGAUAACAGGCUGAUACCGCCCAAGAGUUCAUAUCGACGGCGGUGUUUGGCACCUCGAUGUCGGCUCAUCACAUCCUGGGGCUGAAGUAGGUCCCAAGGGUAUGGCUGUUCGCCAUUUAAAGUGGUACGCGAGCUGGGUUUAGAACGUCGUGAGACAGUUCGGUCCCUAUCUGCCGUGGGCGCUGGAGAACUGAGGGGGGCUGCUCCUAGUACGAGAGGACCGGAGUGGACGCAUCACUGGUGUUCGGGUUGUCAUGCCAAUGGCACUGCCCGGUAGCUAAAUGCGGAAGAGAUAAGUGCUGAAAGCAUCUAAGCACGAAACUUGCCCCGA